GCCCCAUGGGUAAAGCUCGCCUCCCUCAGAUUUCGGAGAUCAGCUUCACGCCGAGGUGAAAGGCAGGGAGUGGGAGACCUGUAGGAGGGUGACAUCCACACCUGAGCCUCGAGACGAGCUAUGGAUUGGAAUAUUGAUUGCUGCUUCUCUGCAUCGGAUACCAGGGCCGUGCAGCUUCCCGUGGCAGCACGACCCACGGGGGACACAUGAGGGGUGUGGAUGUCAGACCCUACAAGGGACUCGAGUCAGAGCAGCUGGGGGCUGGGCUGGUGGACGGACUGGAAUCGACUUCAGGACUCUUGUCUGAGAGCAGAAGUGGAGGCGAGGGGUCACUGCGGGAAUUAAGUGCUGACACCAAGGAGUGAAAGGAAGUAGUAUCCAUAUGCAUUAAUAGCGUGAUGAGGACUGGAGCCAGCAGGCAGCAGGCAGGCACGGAUAAAAAGUGGCUACAGUCAGCUCUUCAGCUCGUGGCCAGCAGGUACCAGAACGGACCCCAGAGGUGGCUGCAUGGCAGCGGCAGUCAGUAUGACCAUUAAAGCACUGUGGGAUGUGAGGCAUUUGCCAAAGCACAUGCCCUGAGUUCUGGGUUUCCAUUGUUGGCAGCAAGAUCAGAGAAGACACAGAUGAAACGCCACGCAGCAAAGACCGGAGCCACAGUGAUGGGAAGCAGCAUGCAGCAGUUAUGCCAAACCCCUCUGUACGGGCUCUCCCCUUGUCUCCCUGCCACUUCCUGCGAGAUUAAUGCCGGGAACGCACAGCAAACGCCCCAGCAGAAAUAAAUACUUCCCCCUCCAGCUGGGAUUUCCAACAAGUUCUGCGGAUACUUUCCUCUGUAGCAAAGCCAAGAGCUCCCAGGACAUGGUGAGGGUGCCUUGUACUGUACAGCACUUCCAAACAGGAGGAUUGCAUGGAUUUAUGGGCACUCCAGGUAAUAUUUCUGCCACAGGGCUCGGAAGGAGAGAAUUCAAUCACAUGGCAUCUUAUUUUCAGAUGCUUCCGGUAUCUUUUCCUGUGGCUGCUUUGCAGCAGCAACAUCCACACUCUUCCUUCCUUGUACUUUAACACUUGGAGAGUCGCCUCGAUUUCUUCAGCCUCGGACUGGCACAUCCAUCUUUCCUUUGUCUCUGGAGUCCUCUUUGGACAGUGCUGAUGUUCUGAAUACAGCAAGAGUCUCCCAAGUCAACCAGACACACAGCCUGGAUCCACACUGUGCCUCAGAGUGGUUCUGUGAAAAGAGGCUUGGUGGGUAGCAGGUUGAACUGCGGAUCCUGAUUCAGCCCUGAUUAGCAGGAAGGACUGUGAGUGUGAGAGUGGCACCCCAAAGCACAGGUGUUUUACCUGGGGAUAUGCACAAGUGCAAAGAGUCCAGUGGUUGGAAAAGGAGGGUGCAGCACAGGAGACUUUGACUUUGUUUCUCUCUGCCACUGACAUCCUUGUAUGACUCAAGUCACAUCACUUUGGUUUGUAGGUGCAGAGGGAGGGUGACACCCGUUUCUGAAAAGCACUCUGAAAGGGCGCAGUCAAGCAGCGUCAGCAUGGUUGGAAAGGAAAGCCUCAGAAGGCAUCUGGUCAAGCAUCUCAACAGCUACUGGUCCCUUGAACCUUGGAGUAGGAGGACACUCAGCACCACGCAGAGUCAGGUCACAACACCCCCUACCUGGGCCGUCUGUGGCAGAAAUAGCUGGUUAACAAACCCCAGGCACAGCAGGAUGCAACAACGGUGAAAUGCACGGGUUCUUUUGCAGCUGGGGCCAAUGCUGCGCCACCCUGGCCAGGAGAACUCGGGACACCGUGCCACCCCUCCCCGUGGCUCCGUGCAAAGCAGGAACAAGCAAACGAUGCAAGUGACAAUACUCAUGGCGAAGAGCACGCUGGCUGGGGUCAACACCCUGGGUGAGCAGCACUUCCUCGGUCCUGCUGCGAUUGUUAGCCUGAAGGUCCAGUCAGCCGUCCAGUGACCAUGCAGGCUCCCCAGCAGUCGUAUUUCUUUUUCCCAUUCCAGCAUCCAGACGUAUGUAUUGUGAGGCUUUUGCUUUCCCCUACCUGGACUGAUAUCCUCUUGUGUGUGCCAGCUUUCUGCCUGUGAGAGGGAUGUGCUCAGGAGCAAAGGAUUUUGCUUUGCUGUUGCUGUGACCAGGGGAAGGGAGCACUAAUAAACGUCUAGAGGGCA